AUUGAACGCUGGCGGCAUGCUUUACACAUGCAAGUCGAACGGUAACAGGGUGCUUGCACCGCUGACGAGUGGCGAACGGGUGAGUAAUGCGUCGGAACGUGCCGAGUAGUGGGGGAUAACGCAGCGAAAGUUGUGCUAAUACCGCAUACGUACUGAGGUAGAAAGUGGGGGACCUUCGGGCCUCACGCUAUUCGAGCGGCCGACGUCUGAUUAGCUAGUAGGUGAGGUAAGAGCUCACCUAGGCGACGAUCAGUAGCGGGUCUGAGAGGAUGAUCCGCCACACUGGGACUGAGACACGGCCCAGACUCCUACGGGAGGCAGCAGUGGGGAAUUUUGGACAAUGGGCGCAAGCCUGAUCCAGCAAUGCCGCGUGCAGGAAGAAGGCCUUCGGGUUGUAAACUGCUUUUGUACGGAACGAAAAGGCUCUGGUUAAUACCUGGGGCUCAUGACGGUACCGUAAGAAUAAGCACCGGCUAACUACGUGCCAGCCGCCGCUGUAACAC
rnacentral:rRNA from 1 species